CCAGAUUUUUUUUUUAUGUAAUUGACAUUUUGGAGCCAUGGGAUAAAUACGCAUGCAUGUACAGGGUAGCUGGCACAUUGGGGAAAUCGCAGCAUCGAUAGAUACAGGUGUCGUCAGCUUUACUGCGAUGAAUUGACAGAGUUAGACUCUUCCAUGCACUGACAAACCACAUAACAUGCAGCCACGAUUCAUUGGUCUCCACUCUAUGUGUGGGUGAUUCGACUUGAGCGAACAGCCUAUCUACCCAUAGAAGAAGUUAAGAUCGAUUCAAUUUGCUAUUCUCACAUGUUGAGUAAUUUUCGGACCAGGCUACAUCCAUGUGUAGCUUAUUGAUAUUUUUUCUAUGGAUAAACAGCAUGGUUUUGUGUUGGACCAAUUAUAGUCAUAAAGGGAUUAUAGUCAAUCAAUAUAACGCUACCAGUUCAGCUUAGAAUUUGUCUAUUGUACAAGGUGCUGCUGAGGGGGAUAGUGAAUAACUAUUACACUGAUCUUUAUCAACUUUGGGAUACGCAGUCACUGAGUUUAAGGAAUUUAACCUCACUUUAAGUGGUGAAUCUUAACUGGACACGCAUAUCUUCACACCUCGACUCGAGUGGAAACUGAGAGAGACGCUGGACAUUCGGACGCCGGUUGAUAAUGUGGCCGUUCCGAGAAAGAAGACUUUUUCAGAUAUGUCUUCUUCUUAUCUCCGUUGACAGUCUCCAUUCGACACUGAAUAUACCAAUUAUGGGACUAAGAAAGAGUUUCAAGGCGUGGACUGCUGAGAUCAGCAGAAGGAUAUAUGACCUCAGUGUACAAGCAACUGGACUACCAAAACUGAGAAAGUGUUAUGAAGAUGAGGCCAAGGUAGAAAUUAUGAAUGGCACCAAAAUACUAGACACAGUGUCCACAAAUAUGGAGAAAAUGCUACGGAAGAAGGAAGACGCAAUAAGCAGACUUGUUGAAGCAGCAGAAGAAGCCAAUAAACAGCAUACGUUUGAUCCAGAGAUAGAUCUUCAUUAUUACAAUGCCAAAAGAAUCAAUGAAAUAAAUGAAAAAACUGGAAACUAUGUCACAACGGAGCCGGGUGCCACCAUGCCUCCAACAAUGGUGGAUGACGAAAAUGAACAUUUGCAAUUUAACCCCGAAUGGCUCAAUCUGACUGUUCACGAAGAUGAGCAUUUCAAUUAUGUUCGAGUAAAUCUAAACUACAGCACUGUGCAUGUUCCAACAGAUGUUUAUGACAGAUAUCCAAAUGUCAGCAAUGGCAUUUCCUGGUCGGAAAAAUUAGAUCCAGUUUUUAAAAAGAACUAUGAAAUAGACCCCACGUUAACCUGGCAGUACUUUGGGAGUGCGUCGGGAUUUUUUCGAACAUUUCCAGGUUAUAAAUGGCCACCGCCUCCACUAGGUGUAGAUUUGUUUGACUGUCGAACCAGAGAGUGGUACAUCCAGGCGGCAGCGUCUCCCAAGGAUAUCGUAAUUCUGUUGGACUCCAGUGGCAGUAUGACUGGGCUGAGGAGCAAAAUAGCGCGAACUACAAUUAAUAAAAUUCUUGACACUCUGAGUGAUGAUGACUAUUUCAACAUUAUAAGUUAUUCUACACAACCAUUAUAUAUUGAUAAAUGUUCUAAUAGAACUUUAAUACAAGCAAACAUAAAAAAUAAAGAGAGAUUAAAAGAAGCAGUAAAGGAUGUGGAAAUAAAAAAAAUAGCCCACUUGGAUCGAGCCUUGGAGGAGGCAUUUGCCUUGCUGGAUGUGGCCAGAUCUGAUGGAGAAGGGACCCAGUGCAACCAGGCCAUUAUGAUCAUAUCUGACGGCUCUCCUGACACAUACGGGGAGGUGUUUGAGAAAUGGAACAGGCCAAAUAUCACAGUACGGGUGUUUACCUAUCUGAUUGGCAGAGAAGUGAAAGAUUCCAGAGAAGUCAGUUUAAUAGCAUGUGCCAAUAAAGGCUAUUAUACUCAUAUAUCCACACUGGCUGAUGUGCAGGAAAAUGUUCAGAAAUAUGUGAAUGUAUUGAGCAGACCAAUGGUAAUGCAGAGGGCCAGAUACAGUGUGUGGACCAGUGUUUAUCUGGACAUAGCUGAGCCAUGGUUGAAGUUACGAUCGCAGGUGACAGACGGAUGGGUGCGCCGUCCGUUGUCGGGAGAGCACACUCAUUUAGAAAAGGGUCUGCAGUUAAUGACGUCUGUGGCACAACCAGUGUUUGACCUGAAGAAUGAAACUGUGCAGCAGGGUAAUCUGCUUGGAGUAAUGGGGACAGAUGUCCCCCUGGUGGAAUUACAAAGGCUUAUUCCCCUAUACAAGCUGGGGACUAAUGGCUAUGCAUUUGCCAUCACUAACAAUGGCUACAUUUUGUUCCAUCCUGACUUCAGACCUUUGAAAUGGGAUGGAAAAGCGAAACAUAACUAUAAUAUGGUGGACUUGGAAGACGUAGAAUUUCCAGAGGGCGACAAUGACUUGGUACAAAGGCUGAGGACUGAAAUGAUUGACCAGCAAACAGGGGAUAUGAAAAUACCCAUCAAGAUGAUGACAAGUAAUAUGACCAGAGUAGCUCUUAGGACUAACAGAUAUUUCUAUACCCCCUUGGAGCACACGCCGUUUUCCCUGGGUCUAGUUUUCCCAGAUAAGUAUGGACUGUAUGACAUCACAAACAAAAUCAACAUUACAAGCAUGGAUGAAAGCAUGCUGAAUAAUAAAGAACUGAGGCUGGCACCAUGGGCCGAAUUCUGUCAUUUGACCACAGAGGAAACCAAGCAGGAUCGCUUCGAGGUGUUCAAGAGGUAUAUCGACAAGUGGAGAAAUGAGAAAGAAGACAGAGAAUUUGAACAGAGAUGUGAUGAGGAGUUGAUGUCCCGUAUCCUCUAUGAUAUCUCUGUCACCCAUCCCAUGCUGGCCAUUGAAAUUGGAUGUAACGGCUGGAACCUUACCAAAGAACCAGGAGUUGAGCUUGUUUUCAUGGGCACAAGACACGGUGUCACAAGAUUUUAUAAAAAUACAGAACAGUUAACUGAUGAAUAUUUUGUACAAACCCAGAUAAACACAAUAAAAGAUCUGUAUUAUGAGAGAGCAGCAGAUGCAGGAAAUGACACAUUUGUAUUUUCUGUCCCGCGCAAUGCUAGUCUCUUUCCACCAAAUGAAACUGUGAUAACGGGGAGUACAGGCAUCUUCCUUCACCCGCCAAAAACCUCUUCAGGUUCUGGAGGACCAAAUCCAAAAAACCUCGCCAACCAAACCAACCAGGCAUUGGCAGCUGUGAUAGGGCUGCAGAUCAAACUGCAGCUUUUCCGGGAAAUUAUGAUGAACUCCACCGCGGAGUGCUUUGAGUCUCCUGGAACCAGCAAUGUCACGUGCAACUCCUCUUGUGCCAAUGAUACACUCGACUGUUUUCUGAUUGAUGAAAAUGGGUUCAUCGUUGUAUCAGAGAAUGAAAACAUUUCUGGCCUUUUCCUGGGAGAGGUGGAUGGUCCACUCAUGAAUAAAUUGUCUGAACAGAUCAGAAGUCAGGCCAGUACAGACGAAAAUGUUUUUAAAACUGUGGAUAUUAUAGAUUACCAAGCAAUAUGUGAUGUGGCUGAAAAUACUAGCGGUAGCUUUGCCACCAGGUUGAUGAAUCCAUUUUGGAGCGUGAUCACUGCCACCAAGUGGAUUCUAAAUGAACUAGCAAUACUUUUCUUAGAAUUUAAUUUAUAUAAUUGGUGGAAUUUUAGUGGAACAUCUGCCAGAAGUGCUAGUAUCCCACCGCAAAGGAACGACAUUGUAAUUAACAACACUAACAUUAAGCUUGCACAAGUUAGUAGCAUUGUCGACGCAGACACUGCAGGAAAACAGAACUAUACUCCCACCACACCAAAGAGAACUGUGCAGCUAGAUCCAAACAAUGUUUCAUAUGUUAUGUCAGAAGUAACAACUGUUCCCAUGCCUGUAACACAAGCAUCAGAUUUUAAAACCACAAAAGCAAAAGCCAGAACAACAACAAUGAAACCAACAAGUGUUGAACCCACCACCACCAAAACAACUACAACAACAACACAGAAACCAACAACAAGUACAAAGUCGCAGGUGAAACCCCCACAGCACAACUCUACAUGGACAACCCUUGUGGGUGCACUCAGGUACUCCCCCCUCUGAAACCCACUACCCUAAGCUCUGAAGAAAGUGAAAGUGAAACUGGCAUGGCGGACAUGCAUACACCUAAUAUAACUACCACCGAGAUACCCAUUUUGAUAGGAGAGACCACACAUGCACCUCAACCUGCUCACAUCCCUCAGCAGCCAAUAACUCGACCAUGUGACCGUGUUAGCACUCUUACCACGCUAAACCUUCCUGAUCAGUACGAUCCU
rnacentral:misc_RNA from 1 species